UACGUAGGGCGCGAGCGUUGUCCGGAAUUAUUGGGCGUAAAGAGCUCGUAGGCGGCCUGUUGCGUCCGCUGUGAAAUCCCAGGGCUUAACCCUGGGUCUGCAGUGGAUACGGGCAGGCUGGAGGCAGGCAGGGGGAGAACGGAAUUCCCGGUGUAGCGGUGAAAUGCGCAGAUAUCGGGAGGAACACCGGUGGCGAAGGCGGUUCUCUGGGCCUGUACUGACGCUGAGGAGCGAAAGCGUGGGGAGCGAACAGG
rnacentral:rRNA from 1 species